rnacentral:rRNA from 1 species
AUUGAACGCUAGCGGGAUGCUUAACACAUGCAAGUCGAACGAGUGGCGGACGGGUGAGUAAUAUAUCGGAACGUGCCCAGUAGCGGGGGAUACCUACUCGAAAGCGUGGCUAAUACCGCAUACUCUUGGAGCGGCCGAUAUCGGAUUAGCUAGUUGGUGGGUAAAAGGCUCACCAAGGCAAAGUCCCGUAGCUGGUUUGAGAGGACGACCAGCCAAACUGGGACUGAGACACGGCCCAGACUCCUACGGGAGGCAGCAGUGGGGAAUUUUGGACAAUGGGGGAAACCCUGAUCCAGCCAUCCCGCGUGUAUGAGAAGGCCUUCGGGUUGUAAAGUACUUUUGGCAGGGAAGCGGUAUCUGCAGAGAAAGCACCGGCUAACUACGUGCCAGCAGCCGCGGUAAUUC